rnacentral:rRNA from 1 species
UACAGAGGUCUCAAGCGUUGUUCGGAUUCAUUGGGCGUAAAGGGUGUGUAGGUGGCGCGCUAAGUCGGGUGUGAAAUUUCGGAGCUUAACUCCGAAACUGCAUUCGAUACUGGCGUGCUUGAGGACUGGAGAGGAGACUGGAAUUCAUGGUGUAGCAGUGAAAUGCGUAGAGAUCAUGAGGAAGACCAAUAGCGAAGGCAGCUCGCUGGGACGUUACUGACACUAAGGCGCGAAAGCGUGGGGAGCGAACAGG